GACGAACGCUGGCGGCGUGCUUAACACAUGCAAGUCGAACGGUAAGGCCCUUCGGGGUACACGAGUGGCGAACGGGUGAGUAACACGUGGGUGAUCUGCCCUGCACUUCGGGAUAAGCCUGGGAAACUGGGUCUAAUACCGGAUAGGACCACUGCCUGCAUGGGUGGUGGUGGAAAGCUUUUGCGGUGUGGGAUGGGCCCGCGGCCUAUCAGCUUGUUGGUGGGGUGAUGGCCUACCAAGGCGACGAGGGGUAGCCGGCCUGAGGGGGUGACCGGCCACGCUGGGAGUGAGGUACGGCCCAGACUCCUGCGGGAGGCAGCAGUGGGGAAUAUUGCACAAUGGGCGCAAGCCUGAUGCAGCGACGCCGCGUGAGGGAUGACGGCCUUCGGGUUGUAAACCUCUUUCAGCACCGACGAAGCGCAAGUGACGGUAGGUGCAGAGGAAGGACCGGCCAACUACGUGCCAGCCGCCGCCGUAA
rnacentral:rRNA from 1 species